rnacentral:rRNA from 1 species
GACGAACCGUGCGAACGUUGUUCGGAAUCACUGGGCUUAAAGGGCGCGUAGGCGGUCUUGCAAGUCCCGUGUGAAAUCCCUCGGCUCAACUGAGGAACUGCACGGGAAACUGCUUGGCUUGAGUUCGGGAGAGGGAAGCGGAAUUCCGGGUGUAGCGGUGAAAUGCGUAGAUAUCUGGAGGAAUACCGGUGGCGAAGGCGGCAUCCUGGACCGAGAUUGACACUGAUGAGCGAAAGCUAGGGGAGCAAACGGG